CCUACGGGGGGCAGCAGUGAGGAAUAUUGGUCAAUGGUCGGGAGACUGAACCAGCCAAGCCGCGUGAGGGAUGAAGGUACAGAGUAUCGUAAACCUCUUUUGUCAGGGAACAAAGGCGGGGACGUGUCCCCGGAUGAGUGUACCUGAAGAAAAAGCAUCGGCUAACUCCGUGCCAGCAGCCGCGGUAAUACGGAGGAUGCGAGCGUUAUCCGGAUUUAUUGGGUUCAAAGGGUGCGCAGGCGGUCUGUUAAGUCAGCGGGCAAAGCCCGGGGCUCAACCCCGGCCCGCCGUUGAAACUGGCAGUCUCGAGUUGGAGAGAAGUAUGCGGAAUGCGCGGUGUAGCGGUGAAAUGCAUAGAUAUCGCGCAGAACUCCGAUUGCGAAGGCAGCAUGCCGGCUCCACACUGACGCUGAGGCACGAAAGCGUGGGUAUCGAACAGGAGUAGAUACCCGAGUAGUC
rnacentral:rRNA from 1 species